CGCGGUCCCCUCACAGCGCAGGGAACUCAACGCUGCGACUGCGCGGCUCGAACCAACGGGCACAGGACGAAGGGAGGCGGUGGAGGCGGAAGCGGAGGCUUCCUCCAAGCAUUUAAAGGCGGGAGGGGGUGGUCAAGCCUGUUAUCUAAUCCUAUGUUGCUCUGUAAUGAAAGCAAUAACAGUCUCGGCCAAGCCGAAAACCUAGGCGACCGAUGACGUUACUUGCCUUAAGCCCCCCCCCGAGUCAUGUGAUCCAGUACAGUGAAAGCUGCGGGUUCUGCAAUUAAAAUCCGGCGUCCCUCAAUGAUAUCAAAUGGUCCGUGACGAGAAGCGUAGAAACGCAAACGAGCUUGACUUUUAUGGCUCAAGCCGAAGGGGAGGGGAAGGGAGGAAGACCCGGAUUAAUUAUGUUUAAAAUGUCCAGGGUUAACAAAGCGUACUGCCUCUAUACGCAAUGCGCUUUGAAAAACUCCCGUCCCUUUUUUCCCCCUGCACAAUCCAUGAAGGAGGCGUGGCUAGCCUGAGGAAGCGGAUUUCACUCACGAAAGGUUGAUAUUGGAUUUUUUUUUUUUUUAGUGGCCCAAUGAAAGGUAUUGCCCACACGCUUGGCACUUGUGUGAUCUUGGAGAACCAAACUGGCUUCUCCUGGUUCUCCCUUCGCUUUAAUGGUUCUCCUGAGUCUGUGGUGGGUUUAAUUCGAUGGGCGGACUUAGUUAGUAGCAAUGACGAAACGCCCAACCAAUCGAGUUGGCCUAACGAGCGCUUUGGGUGGGACCCACGCGAGGUUUGUCCCGACGGGGUGGCGUUCUAGCCAAUUAGAGAAAAGCUAGGGUUUUAGGGCACGCACACAAACGACUCCGAGUGAAAGCUGCGUAUUCGAGCGGCUCCACCAAUACGCCGUCGGAGGGUUUAUAGGAGGCCCCCAACUACGAUCAUAAAUUUAUAAGGCGGAGCUUGACUUGAUAGGCAGCUAUGGCAACUCAUGCGUCGCGAAAUGUUUGAGGAGUUGCCCAAUGGCAAACGAGGAAAGGAAGGAAAAGGGCAGACCACCCUUCAGAUAGUCAGGCAGCGGAACCAAUGGACAUUCACGUUAUUGUAAGAUGCUCCAAUCAGCGGAGCGAAGGGCGGGCCUUGAUGUGUUUGGGUUCGUGCUCCUCCAGGGAGUGAGACGGCGACGGUGGCGGCGACGAGGAAAGUUUAUUUUUUGGUGGUGGAUCCCCCCCUCCCCCACCAUUUGUUUUGAUCUAGGCGUCUGGUGGCUAACUUUCGCCGUCUGGCGAGCGAGGCGGGAAAAGCAGUCCCCUCAGCAGCGCUGGAAAGAAGGAGGAGGUGGGCUCCGCCUGUGCACCGUUGCGAGCGAAAAAGGCGACGUCCGUGGCUUCUUGUAGUGGCUUGGCUUUUGCACUGAAUGUAACCAGACGGAUCUUUUUGGGCUUCACUAGCCCUGAGAAGCUGUUGAGAACUUCAUAGUUCAGCAAAGUUUUGCACAGAUUCUGGUCCCAUGCAAACUGAUGAGGGAGAAAUUUUGGAGGAAGGCAGUUCCAAGAUGGAACAUGAGGAUUUUGUAAUGGAAGGGCAUGGCAAGACUCCACCUCCUGGUGAAGAAAACAAACAGUGAG